GAACGGGACCUUCGCGGUAGCAAUAUCUAGAAGGUUCAGUGGCGGAAGGGUGAGUAACGCGCGGGUAAUCUACCUCGAAGUUGGGAAUAGCCUGGGGAAACUUGGGAUAAUUCCGAAUGUGGUCGGCCGGUGACAAUCGGCCUAUCUAAAGCUGGGGACCGUAAGGCCUGGCGCUUUGAGAUGAGCCCACGUCCUAUCAGCUAGUUGGUGAGGUAAUGGCUCACCAAGGCUUUGACGGGUAGCUGGUCUGAGGGGAUGGUCAGCCACACUGGGACUGGGACACUGCCCAGACUCCUACGGGAGGCUGCAGUCGAGAAUCAUUCGCAAUGGGCGAAAGCCUGACGAUGCGACGCCGCGUGCAGGACGACGGCCUUCGGGUUGUAAACUGCUGUGAUGGGGGAACAAUUGGCAGGGCAUUAAUAGUGUCUUGUCUUGAUAGUACCCCAAGAGGAAGCCACGGCUAACUCUGUGCCAGCAGCCGCGGUAAUACAGAGGUGGCAAGCGUUGUUCGGAUUUACUGGGCGUAAAGGGUGCGUAGGCGGCAUCAUAUGUCGAAUGUGAAAUCCCACGGAUUAUCUGUGGAACUGCAUACGAAACUGUGGUGCUAGAGGACAGGAGAGGAGGGCGGAAUUCACGGUGUAGCGGUGAAAUGCGUUGAUAUCGUGAAGAACGCCGGUGGCGAAGGCGGCCCUCUGGACUGUAUCUGACGCUGAGGCACGAAAGCUAGGGGAGCAAACAGGAUUAGAUACCCUGGUAGUCCUAGCCGUAAACGGUGUGCACUUGGUGUGGGAGGAAUUAUCCCCUUCCGUGCCGUAGCUAACGCGUUAAGUGCACCGCCUGGGGAGUACGGUCGCAAGACUAAAACUCAAAGAAAUUGACGGGGGCCCGCACAAGCGGUGGAGCAUGUGGCUUAAUUCGAUGCAACGCGAAGAACCUUACCUGGGCUUGACAUGUGACUGGAUGCCGGUUGAAAGAUCGGAGGCCUUCGAGGCUGUCACACAGGUGCUGCAUGGCUGUCGUCAGCUCGUGCCGUGAGGUGUUGGGUUAAGUCCCGCAACGAGCGCAACCCCUGUGAUUAGUUGCUAUCCGCAAGGAAGCACUCUAAUCAGACUGCCUGUGAUAAGCAGGAGGAAGGUGGGGAUGACGUCAAGUCAGUAUGGUCCUUAUGUCCAGGGCUGCACGCGUGCUACAAUGAUCAGUACAGAAGGAAGCAAGACCGCGAGGUGGAGCCAAUCCCCAAAACUGAUCUCAGUUCAGAUUGGAGUCUGAAACUCGACUCCAUGAAGCUGGAAUCGCUAGUAAUGGCGCAUCAGCUACGGCGCCGUGAAUACGUUCCCGGGCCUUGUACACACCGCCCGUCACAUCACGAAAGCCGAUUGCACCCGAAGUGGCUGAUUCAACCCGCAAGGGAGAUAGGUCCCUAAGGUGUGGUUGGUGAUUGGGAUG
rnacentral:rRNA from 1 species